rnacentral:rRNA from 1 species
GGAUCAAUAUGUCGGUCGUGCUUCGGUACGUACUGGUAUCAUUGGUUUCUCCUUUCUGACGAACCAUGAUGUCAUUAAUUUGGUGUUAUGGGGGGUUAGGACUGUUACUUUGAAAAAAUUAGAGUGUUUAAAGCAGGCUUUAGCUUGAAUACAUUAGCAUGGAAUAAUGAAAUAGGACGUUCGAACCUAUUUUAUUGGUUUCUAGAAUCACCUUA